rnacentral:rRNA from 1 species
GCGUUGUCCGGAACCAUUGGGCGUAAAGCGCGUGUAGGCGGCCCGGUAAGUCCGCUGUGAAAGUCGGGGGCUCAACCCUCGAAUGCCGGUGGAUACUGUCGGGCUAGAGUGCGGGAGAGGCGAGUGGAAUUUCUGGUGUAGCGGUGAAAUGCGCAGAUAUCAGGAGGAACACCAAUUGCGAAGGCAGCUCGCUGGAACGUAACUGACGCUGAGACGCGAAAGCGUG